GACGAACGCUGGCGGCGUGCUUAACACAUGCAAGUCGAACGGAAAGGCCCUGCUUUUGUGGGGUGCUCGAGUGGCGAACGGGUGAGUAACACGUGAGUAACCUGCCCUUGACUUUGGGAUAACUUCAGGAAACUGGGGCUAAUACCGGAUAGGAGCUCCUGCUGCAUGAUGGGGGUUGGAAAGUUUCGGCGGUUGGGGAUGGACUCGCGGCUUAUCAGCUUGUUGGUGGGGUAGUGGCUUACCAAGGCUUUGACGGGUAGCCGGCCUGAGAGGGUGACCGGCCACAUUGGGACUGAGAUACGGCCCAGACUCCUACGGGAGGCAUCAGUGGGGAAUAUUGCACAAUGGGCGGAAGCCUGAUGCAGCAACGCCGCGUGCGGGAUGACGGCCUUCGGGUUGUAAACCGCUUUCGCCUGUGACGAAGCGUGAGUGACGGUAAUGGGUAAAGAAGCACCGGCUAACUACGUG
rnacentral:rRNA from 1 species